GAUGAACGCUGGCGGCGUGCCUAAUACAUGCAAGUCGAGCGAACAGACGGGGAGCUUGCUCCUCUGACGUUAGCGGCGGACGGGUGAGUAACACGUGGAUAACCUACCUAUAAGACUGGGAUAACUUCGGGAAACCGGAGCUAAUACCGGAUAAUAUAUUGAACCGCAUGGUUCAAUAGUGAAAGACGGUUUUGCUGUCACUUAUAGAUGGAUCCGCGCCGCAUUAGCUAGUUGGUAAGGUAACGGCUUACCAAGGCAACGAUGCGUAGCCGACCUGAGAGGGUGAUCGGCCACACUGGAACUGGGACACGGUCCAGACUCCUACGGGAGGCAGCAGUAGGGAAUCUUCCGCAAUGGGCGAAAGCUUGACGGAGCAACGCCGCGUGAGUGAUGAAGGUCUUCGGAUCGUAAAACUCUGUUAUUAGGGAAGAACAAAUGUGUAAGUAACUAUGCACGUCUUGACGGUACCUAAUCAGAAAGCCACGGCUAACUACGUG
rnacentral:rRNA from 1 species